GGCUUAUAAUUCGAGCUGGAACUGGUCCGGGGCAGUGAGGAGGAAGAAGGGGAAAGGGCAGCUCGGGGGCAGACAGGCGAGGCGCUGCGGCGCUAAGGUAGGAGCGGAGGCUAGAGGUCGAAGGAGGGUCGGCUGCUCUACCGGCUCUAACUCUAAUUUUGUCGUGGACGACUGAAGGCGAAAGGAUGUUGGUUGGUUUGAUCCGUAACAAAAUGAGCGAUACAACUCAAGGUGUCCACACACUCACGGUUCCCCCUACUUCGACGACUUACACUCUUUAAACGGUUCAUGAUGGCUAGAGAAACGGGUCGACUUACCCAACUCUUCACCUUGCUCGUCUCCCUCUUGCCCUGUAAACGUCCCGGGGAGAUUUAGUAGACAAACUCUCAGAGGAGUUAACGAAAGCGCAGUCGCGAUGAUGACAGAAGACCGAACCUUAAAUACGAGGACGGUACAUCAUGAUAAGAAGGUCGUUUAGCGACGUCUUGUCGUUCACUACGAAAAGAGAUACAACGUGAUUAUUAAGUCGUACGAAUAUAUAAGACAGUAACUCUGUACGGAAAAGUGUAAAUAAUUUACCUAAUAUAAGACUUUACUCCAAAGUAACGGGUAACGAACUGAUCGUACAGACAGGACCCUAAAUCUUACCGAUCGAUAUACCCCUUGGUUUACCCCCGAUACAGCUAUUCGC
rnacentral:rRNA from 1 species